rnacentral:rRNA from 1 species
GAUGAACGCUAGCGGGAGGCUUAACACAUGCAAGUCGAGGGGCAGCACGAGGUAGCAAUACUUUGGUGGCGACCGGCGUACGGGUGAGUAACGCGUAUGCAACCUACCCUGUACUGGGGGAUAGCCCGGAGAAAUUCGGAUUAAUACCCCAUAAAGAUAUUUGGAGGCAUCUUCAGAUAUUUAAAGUUUCGACGGUACGGGAUGGGCAUGCGUAACAUUAGCUUGUUGGUAAGGUAACGGCUUACCAAGGCUACGAUGUUUAGGGGUCCUGAGAGGGUGAUCCCCCACACUGGUACUGAGACACGGACCAGACUCCUACGGGAGGCAGCAGUGAGGAAUAUUGGUCAAUGGGCGCAAGCCUGAACCAGCCAUCCCGCGUGCAGGAAGACGGCGCUAUGCGUUGUAAACUGCUUUUCCAGGGGAAGAAA